UACGUAGGGUGCGAGCGUUAAUCGGAAUUACUGGGCGUAAAGCGUGCGCAGGCGGUUUGUUAAGACAGAUGUGAAAUCCCCGGGCUUAACCUGGGAACUGCAUUUGUGACUGGCAAGCUAGAGUAUGGCAGAGGGGGUAGAAUUCCACGUGUAGCAGUGAAAUGCGUAGAGAUGUGGAGGAAUACCGAUGGCGAAGGCAGCCCCCUGGGCCAAUACUGACGCUCAUGCACGAAAGCGUGGGGAGCAAACAGG
rnacentral:rRNA from 1 species